CCGUCGAGCUUUUUUCAUCGUUAAGUUGUUGAGACAGAUUUUCCUCUCGAGUUUUUUUCAUCGUUAAGUUGUUUUUGUGCACUGACAGAGGUGGUUUUGGGGAAGACAAGCGUGGACGGGUCUGUGUCGCGUAUCCACUUCUCUCAAAUCACCGAGGCGUCUGCCGGGAAGCCCAGAAUCCCCAGCAGGAUCGGUUCUCCCCGCCGCAACACGAGCCUUCAGCAAGAGGCAGAUACUCGAGACACACACGUUGUUCCCAGCUUUUCGUAUCAGCAGGCGGAGCCUGACUCCGGGACAACCUCACUCUUUCAGCAGGAGCUCCCUGGAGUCACCCCUUGCCACACAAUCCUGGUUUCCUCGAUGCCUGCACAGAGACAGAACGCGGAGGUCGUCCUGUGCUCAGUGUCUUGAUUGGCAUUCGAUCGUUGCCCAGAAGUUUCACUCGCGAAAAAAAAGUGGUUCGUUGCAGGGUUCCCUGGGAAAGGUGGUAAGCGAGACAGGGGCCAGUUUCGUGGAGUCGUACGAGAGGCAGUACCCGUUGGUCCGUUGCGGCAGCUGCGCUCUGAAAAAUCACAGACGCAUUCACUCGCGCCUCUUGGAGGCGUUAAAAGAAGCGCCAAGGAGGGAACUUCGGCAACCGAGAAGGCGUCUGGGCGAAGAGCGGGGGCAUCCGUAUAUACGUAUCUUUCUUGAAUGGUGUUUUCUAGCGGAUGAAGCGGUUUUAACAGUGUGGCUUCCUAGGUAGUCCCAAGCGGUAACCUCGUUAACUCCUACGGCAUGUUUCAAAGAACUUUCUCAACUGCUAGUGUAGAAAGAGGGUUUGAAUCCGAAUGACUCCCGGUGUUCCGGGAGUCCUAUUCACUAAAACACCGAUCCACCCCGACACGCAGCAUGAAAAACUCGAGGCUUCACCGAAUCUGUGUGUCAUGAAGAAGCGGAAGGGGCAUCUCCAGUUUCUGCGUGUAUCUCCGAAAAUGCGCAACUCAAAGGCAGAGCUCAACCUCCAGCUCCGCACUUCUGUGAGGUGUUCCUGUGUGUACUGAAAACGGACGGGAGAUUUUUCUCCCGCUUGAAAAACCCUCUCCCGUUGUUAGACUAGGAGGAAACCCCUGUUAAUGUCACGAGGAGAUGCAUUCAAAGUUCCGAGGAAAAGUGCAGAAGACACGCGCUCUUAUUCGUCGUGCGCAGAGGAAGCUGCUGUUAGGAAGUACCUUACCAAAAGCGGCUUCGCUUGUUGCCAUGACUCUGGUUUCUUUAAAAGCGGCGCGAUUCUAC
rnacentral:lncRNA from 1 species